GCGCGCGCCGCCCAGCAGUGGGGAAUAUUGCACAAUGGGCGCAAGCCUGAUGCAGCGACGCCGCGUGAGGGAUGAAGGCCUUCGGGUUGUAAACCUCUUUCAGUAGGGAAGAAGCGAAAGUGACGGUACCUGCAGAAGAAGCGCCGGCUAACUACGUGCCAGCAGCCGCGGUAAUACGUAGGGCGCAAGCGUUAUCCGGAAUUAUUGGGCGUAAAGAGCUCGUAGGCGGUUUGUCGCGUCUGCCGUGAAAGUCCGGGGCUCAACCCCGGAUCUGCGGUGGGUACGGGCAGACUUGAGUGAUGUAGGGGAGACUGGAAUUCCUGGUGUAGCGGUGAAAUGCGCAGAUAUCAGGAGGAACACCGAUGGCGAAGGCAGGUCUCUGGGCAUAACUGACGCUGAGAG
rnacentral:rRNA from 1 species